rnacentral:rRNA from 1 species
UACGGAGGGUGCGAGCGUUGUCCGGAAUCACUGGGCGUAAAGGGCGCGUAGGUGGCGCGGGCAGUCAACGGUGAAAGUUCGGGGCUCAACCCUGAAUCGGCCGUCGAUACUCCCCGAGCUCGAGCACUGUAGAGGCAGGAUGGAAUUCCGGGUGUAGCGGUGGAAUGCGCAGAUAUCAGGAGGAACACCGGUGGCGAAGGCGGGUCUCUGGGCCGAUACUGACACUGAGGAGCGAAAGCGUGGGGAGCGAACAGG